AAUUGGGUGUUGAAUGCCAGUAGAUCUGAAUUUGUAAAUUUUUAAAUUGAAUUUAACCUGUUUAGAACGUGUAUUGUUGAAUUGUUCAAUAAAAUUACACACAUAAUCUGGGCUGAUAUGCAUAAAACCACUUUAAGUUCAAGGUAUCAAUAAAACUGGGUCUGCAUGAAAAAAUGACUUAUCACAUAAUACCAGAACCUAUGUUUAGCCGAUAAGAAAAUAUAGCUGUAGGCCUAGGUGAAAAUCUUUACAAAUUAUUUAUUCUUUUAAUUUCUGUUUGACUGUCUGGGUGCUUCUUAUGUGUUUUAAAUGCUAUAGUCAAGUUUUAUAUACUGUUGUACGUCAUUUGGUCGUUUUUAAGUUUUUGCCAUGGCGUUUGUCAGUAUGUCUUCGACUUAUAAGUUUUAUCAAGGAUUUGUAUAGUGAGAUUGGUUUUAUAUAAUCUGCAUCUCUUGUGCUGUAUUUUAAAAUGUAUUACAAUUGCUGCACCUUUACACAUUCAUCAAUACACCAAAAAAUAUGAAUAAAGCUUUCGUAUAUAUAUAAAUAAGGAGAUGUGGUACGAUUGGUAAUGAAACAACUAUCCGCCAGUUCAAUUCAAAAACCUGAUAUAAGCAAAUGUGACUUACUUACUUACUUUUGUCAGAGAGAUCUUGAAUCUGAAUUCAAGGAUACGAAGUGGGAAGGGUUUAGAGGUGGAUUAAGGUGAGGGCAUGGGGGGCCGCCCCUUUUUUGGAAAAAAAUUGGUUGAUUAUUUAGAGAAUCAAUGAAGCGGGCCCCCUCUUUAUGCAUGACAGUUAGUGCCUCCUUAUGACAUUUUUUGGAUCCGCAACUGGUGAGGACUUCAUAAAAAAUUAUUAAGUAAGUUUGUGUUUUGUGAUAAAUAAUGUAUUUAGACAGAAAUAGGAUAAAAUAAACUACCGAAAGCUUAAGUAUGGAUGGGGGUUAACAGAAUAGAGAAUAACGGGCAAACAAUAAAGAUUAAAGAAUAAUGAAAUGCUAAAAUAUGAGGAAAGAGAGUAAUGAGCAAAAAGUGUAAGUUUGUAGAAAUAUAGCAAAAAAAAAAAUAAAGAACACAGAAAAAGAAGACCCCCCCAAGAUCCUGACUUCAACUUUUACGCUGCUGGGAUAUUUUUUAGACAAAGUGCACGUAUUAGUAGUCAGCCGAAACCACUAAGCGUUUUGCAUCCAUACGGUUUUUUUUUCGGGAUACUGACUGCAUAGUAAACUAUCAAUGUACUAGUUAAUGUUCUCGAGGGAUGACCCUAUUACAGAGACAUAUAUACACAUAUGUGUAAAUAUGUCUCUGCCCUAUUACGUGUCAGUAACCUACUCGACACGGUUCAUUUUUACGGCGGCUCAGUUUUGUCUUAAGAAUAAACAUAAUUGAUAAGUUUCUUUCCCCUGCAUUUUUCGAUCGCACUUGUAAAUAGCACAUUGGUCUCAAUUAAGACAUUGGUUACAACACUUGCCGUCAGUACUCAAAAUUGGAAAAAUAUUAAAUAAGAAGGUUGCCAGCAAGAUGAAAAGAACAAUGCAGUUCAAAAGUCAAAAUGUGGAUAAGCUGCGGUACAAAGUCCAACUUUUGCAGAUUUUCAUAUUUUGCAUGAAUGAAUUUGAAGUUUAUAUCCUGGAGGGCAGAGAAAGAAAAGAAACACUUCAGUUUUCCUGCUUCUGAAGGAUAAAUGUAAAACAUCUUGUUUGAAGGAUUGGAAUUCAUCACUGAGAAUAGAAGGAGAAAACACAGAAACAAGACCAAAAUAAAUUCAAAGACAAAAGUCAGAUCAGUUAUUAUUUUCAUCACUCAGCCAAUGAAUUGCAGUUCUAUUAAAUAUCUAAAGAUAUUAAAACCACAAUAAUGACAAUGUUCUGUGCUGAAUGGCAAAAAAGUGGACUAUACAUUACGAUCACACAAUGCUGGAUGAUAAGAAACUAUUAAUUUUUUGGGUGGAGGGAUAUCCUGAAAAAAAAAUAGAUUUAUGUAAAAAGCUACUAGUAUGUUAAGCCUAUUAAUAGAGUUUUCAUUGAUUUCAAAUGGGAAAAAAUUGUGUUUCAAAAAAGUGUUCUAGAAUUCAUGAAUAAACAUAUA